CCUACGUGAGACUGCAGUGAGGAAUAUUGGUCAAUGGGCGCGAGCCUGAACCAGCCAAGUAGCGUGAAGGAUGACUGCCCUACGGGUUGUAAACUUCUUUUAUAAAGGAAUAAAGUGAGGCACGUGUGCCUUUUUGUAUGUACUUUAUGAAUAAGGAUCGGCUAACUCCGUGCCAGCAGCCGCGGUAAUACGGAGGAUCCGAGCGUUAUCCGGAUUUAUUGGGUUUAAAGGGAGCGUAGAUGGGUUGUUAAGUCAGUUGUGAAAGUUUGCGGCUCAACCGUAAAAUUGCAAUUGAUACUGGCAGUCUUGAGUACAGUUGAGGUAGGCGGAAUUCGUGGUGUAGUGGUGAAAUGCUUAGAUAUCACGAAGAACUCCGAUUGCGAAGGCAGCUUACUAAACUGCCACUGACAUUGAUGCUCGAAAGUGUGGGUAUCAAACAGGAUUAGAUACCCCAGUAGUC
rnacentral:rRNA from 1 species